rnacentral:rRNA from 1 species
GACGGAGGAUGCAAGCGUUACCCGGAAUUAUUGGGCGUAAAGCGUCCGCAGGUGGCUGUUCAAGUCUGCUGUCAAAGCGCAGAGCUUAACUCUGUACAGGCGGUGGAAACUGAAGAGCUAGAGUAUGGUAGGGGUAGAGGGAAUUCCCGGUGUAGCGGUGAAAUGCGUAGAUAUCGGGAAGAACACCAGUGGCGAAAGCGCUCUACUGGGCCAUAACUGACACUGAGGGACGAAAGCUAGGGGAGCGAAAGGG